CCUCCGGCCGGAUACCGCGAGCUUCCCAGCUGAUCGGAGCAUUGAUUUCUGGUUCCAAGGCACUCUGUUCUAGCACUGGCUACAGCUGCGGGGCAUUUCGCAGCUGGUCUUUCGCCUAGACAAAUAUCAGCGAGAAUGCGAGCGUUAUUAGCCACAUAAAUAAAUCAUUAACGCGCA